rnacentral:rRNA from 1 species
UGACCGAGUCAUCGUAGACCGGUAA